AAUAGAUACCCCGGUAGUCCUGGCCGUAAACGAUGGGCACUGGGUAGGGGGCUCUCCGAUGGGGCUCCCUGCCGAAGCGAAAGCGUGAAGUGCCCCGCCUGGGGAGUAUGGUCGCGAGGCUGAAACUCAAAGGAAUUGACGGGGGGCUCACACAAGCGGUGGAGCAUGUGGCUUAAUUCGAGGCUACGCGAAGAACCUUAUCCUGGGCUUGACAUGCAGGGAUUAGUCGGCGGAAACGUCGAUGACGCCGCGAGGUGGAACCUGCACAGGUGCUGCAUGGCUGUCGUCAGCUCGUGCCGUGAGGUGUUGGGUUAAGUCCCGUAACGAGCGAAACCCCUGUGAUCAGUUGCCAGCGCGUCAAGGCGGGGACUCUGAUCAGACCGCCGGCGUCAAGCCGGAGGAAGGCGGGGACGACGUCAAGUCAUCAUGGCCCUUAUGCCCAGGGCUGCACACGUGCUACAAUGGGGGCGGACAGAGCGUCGCCGAGGCCGCGAGGCCGAGCUAAUCGCAAAAACUCGCCCCCCCGAGUUCGGU
rnacentral:rRNA from 1 species